rnacentral:rRNA from 1 species
GACGAACGCUGGCGGCGUGCUUAACACAUGCAAGUCGAACGGAAAGGCCCUGCUUUUGUGGGGUGCUCGAGUGGCGAACGGGUGAGUAACACGUGAGUAACCUGCCCUUGACUUUGGGAUAACUUCAGGAAACUGGGGCUAAUACCGGAUAGGAGCUCCUGCUGCAUGGUGGGGGUUGGAAAGUUUCGGCGGUUGGGGACGGACUCGCGGCUUAUCAGCUUGUUGGUGGGGUAGUGGCUUACCAAGGCUUUGACGGGUAGCCGGCCUGAGAGGGUGACCGGCCACAUGGGGACUGAGAUACGGACCAGACUGCUACGGGAGGCAGCAGUGGGGAAUAUUGCACAAUGGGCGGAAGCCUGAUGCAGCAACGCCGCGUGCGGGAUGACGGCCUUCGGGUUGUAAACCGCUUUCGCCUGUGACGAAGCGUGAGUGACGGUAAUGGGUAAAGAAGCACCGGCUAACUACGUG